rnacentral:rRNA from 1 species
CGUGAAGUUGGAAUUGCUAUAAUCGCGGAUCAGCAUGCCGCGGUGAAUACGUUCCCGGGCCUUGUACACACCGCCCGUCACACCAUGGGAGUUUGUAACACCCGAAGUCAGUAUCCUAACCGCAAGGGGGGAGCUGCCGAAGGUGGGAUAAGCGACUGGGGUGAAGUCGUAACAAGGUAAC